CGCGUAGGUGGUUCGUUAAGUUGGAUGUGAAAGCCCCGGGCUCAACCUGGGAACUGCAUCCAAAACUGGCGAGCUAGAGUAUGGCAGAGGGUGGUGGAAUUUCCUGUGUAGCGGUGAAAUGCGUAGAUAUAGGAAGGAACACCAGUGGCGAAGGCGACCACCUGGGCUAAUACUGACACUGAGGCACGAAAGCGUGGGGAGCAAACA
rnacentral:rRNA from 1 species